ensembl:lncRNA
UAUAAUUAGAAACACAUCAAGGUAAAUCAAAAUGGACAUGAAUCAUGAAUUUGAAGAUCUGCUCAAUAUGUGAUUCAGCAAGGUGAUACAAUGGUAUGUACCCUUGUUUUUAAAAAGGAGACAUUAUUAACCUUGAAAGCCACAUCUAACCAAAUUCCCUUCUGGUCAGAUCUACAGUGGCUACCACAGUGCUACUGAUGUACAUAGCUUAGUGGUUGACAGAAGAUAGCAACUAGCAUGUCCAGGCAGCUUAUUUCUGCCAAGUAAGCUGACCUCCCACACAGCUGCAACUUUUGUCCUCACAAGCCUACAUGGGGAAUUCUGGUUUGUCUCCUGAUUUUGAAUAUCAUCCUCUGCAAUAUAAGAUACAGCUUGCACUUUAAAUAACUUGAACAUAUGUCACGUUCCAUAAUGCCCAUUUGAAUUAUCUAGUGGUCAUUUUCAGUUUGAAGGCUUAAAUGUUUAUGCUGUGCUUAUGUUUUCCUACCUUACUACAUUUUAACAGACUCCUUAAUUUUAAACCUACUGUCAAGUUUAAAAGAUACAAAACUACUUCAAAUUUCAUAAAAUAAGCUUUUGGAUGCAGACAUUAUCUCUGUUAGUUCAGGUAAUCUUGAAAUGUUUGACACUUAUUAGACUUCCCAGUCUCCCCGGAGAAGAGCACACUGAAGCCUGUCUUCAUUCCAUCAUGCAUGGGACUGCUUGGUUUUGGGUGUGUUGUUGUAGUCUUGUUCAUCUUUCACUUUUUCUUAAUAAUACAAUGGAACCUCAUAGCUCUGUGCCUGGAACCACGGAAAUACUUUUCAAUUUUUGUUUUCUUACCUAACUGACACGAUGUUUCCUGGGUAGCAGAAGUAACAAAGCAUGAUUCCUAUUGAUACUUUUCCAUCAUCCUCUCCACAUCUUUCUGACAAUAUGCUUAGAAUCAUAGAAUAUCCCAAGUUGGAAGGGACUCACAAGGGUCAUCGAGUCCAGCCCCUGGGUCCACAAAGGACCAUACAAAAUUCAGACCCUAUGAGAGCAUUAUUCAAAUGCUUCUUGAACACCAGCAGCUUUGUGCCAUAACCACUGCCCUGGGGAGCCUGUUCCAGGGCCCAACCACCUGCUGGUGAAGAACCUUUUCCUAACACCCAACCUGACCCUCCCCUGACAUAGGUCCAUGUGAUUCCCUCAGGUCCUGUUGCUGGUAUGCGAUUGGUGAUGACUGCUGCACUGUAAAACUACAUUUCACUUUCCUCUCUCAUCCGUAGACCCCUGUACUAUCCUCACUUCUUCCCCAAGCUCUAUAGCUUACCUUAAAACUGUCUCUUGAGCCUGUUCCCCUGAAGUGUCCUAACUACAACCAAAAAAACAGAAGCAUUAGCCACUAUGCCUGGCUCAGAGCAACACGAGUGUUCAUCAGCUGCUGCACAUUUGCUGGUUGGCCAGUUGGCAGCACACUGCUACUUCUCUCACUCUGUACCCUGAAACUGGACUGCUAUUUCCUGUUCCACUGCUGAUUUUAAUGAAGACAGUCAGAGUAUCACACCUUCUAAACACCUGCCUUAAUGCUGAAUUUAGUUGGAAGUGACCAAAAGGUAUUCAUGGAGUUUUUUAAUAAGGAACCACAGUAAGAUGAUCACACAUGCUGUUUUCUGAACCAUGAUUAAUAAGACAGAAAUAUGGAACUUGUUCACUACACUUGUUAAGUUGCUCUGUAGAGAAAAGACAUAAUACAGCAAAGUGCCAGGUGCCUCCAGCUCCUGAACUCUGGUAUUUUGAUUAAAUCUGUGUGAAAUGAUUGCUUUCAGCAUCAUAAACAGGCAUUGUACAUUCCUACAAGAUCAAGCCCAUGCAGUAAAAUUUGCAAUUAUUCUGCAAUAGGCAGACACUGCUAAACACUGAAAUGCUGGUUAUACCAUGGUCCUUAAAUCUCCAAGCACUGUGUCCUCUUAUGUCUUAAAAAAAAAUAAUAAUAAUUAAAAACUAUAUAUGUUGAUAACAAUAUGUUGAUAUGUUGAUUAUCCUUUAUGAAACAAAUUAUUAAUUGUACUCAUAUUUUAAUUUUGUAGAUAGAAGGAUAUGAUAAGAACUUAUGAAAUAAUUCAAAGAAUAUUAUAUUCCUCAUCAGCAGCUGUUUCCUGAGAGAUUGUCAGUAUGCUCUAUUUUUUCUGAAGCAAGAGAAAAGACCAAAUUAUUGGUCUUUUACCAAAAUUAUUUUUCAUUUCUACCUAUGUAGAAUAUUUUUAAAGAAAUUCUUAUCAUUCAGAGUUUUCAUCUUCCUGAGCUUCAAUAAUGUUUCACAAUUCUUAUUUCAGCAAAAACAAAAUAGUCACUCAUAUCCACUGAACAAUAAAACUCUCACAUCUACCAGCUGAAUAACAACCCAAGAAUGAAAUGUUUGCUUACAGAUAAAAAUUAGACUUUUUAUUUCAUUUUUGGAAACACGGCUGUACUUUGAACCAAAGCAGUAGAAUUUGUAUUUUCAUUCACCCUUGCUAAAGUUUAACUUCUUAAUGUCUAAAGAGAAUGUCAAGGAAAAGUAAUUUCUUAAAUAUUUAUACAUAGGUUUCUUACUUCUCAUAGUUAAUAAUAGUCCUUGACUAAAUAGCCUCUGUAUGCUCAUGCUGCUAGUGUCAUAAAUUCCACAUAGUAAAACUGAAUUGCUUCCAACAGAGGCUUGUUUUCCUGGAGUAAUUUGAAGAUGGUUAUUCUAGCCAGAUGAUGAAUGGUGUACUUAUUCUAGUUUAAACUUGUCUGUACACUAAUGAUCCAAGCUAACAACAGAAAUAAAUUGCAAGACAAAACUUUUAACAAAACCUAACGCCUCCUGCAAUGUGGUCGGUACGUGCUUUUUAGAAUUGUUUUAGCUCCCUGAAUCUUGGAGUUGUAGAGAAUACAGUCCCUUGAUUUUGACAAAUUUGUUUAUCAAGAUAAAGCAUAGUUAUGAUACAUUUCAACAAACAUGUUUUGUACACAGCCAGAUGAUGAUCUUGAUGUUCUAAUAACUUGUGAUGGUCCAGUAACUUUUUUCAAACACAAAGUAAUGCUUCUGGCUUAGCUGUUCCAUACUGCAGGGAGCUAGGAAGUUUGCUUAGAAAGGAUUAUCAUCUUUGCAGCCUGUUUCAGUGCUUGUCUUGCCAUUUGUCGUUGGCCACUACUCUGCAAUUUUGAAAACCAUGGGGUAGGGGAGAAAGAGCUUAACUCCUCUUUACUUUAAGAAAAUUUAAGUGCAAACUGAUGGCUGUGUACUCUCCUCCUUGCCAGUAAAGAGGGACUCAGAGCUUGCUUGGAGUCUGGGCUCAUUGGUUGAGUUGUUUUAGACACAUUAGUGCUUUCCACUGCUAUCCCAUUUCAUAUUCCUGCGUCUGCUGGCCACUGCAAUUAUAACCGAAGUUCCCACCAGUGUAUUUUGUGUAUUUGCUGAUGGUGCCUAUCUUGGAUAUCCUUCUUGGGUUGUUGUUUUUUGUCCUUAUCUUAUUACUUCUAAAAAGAAAUACAGAUUAGAAGAGGAGAUCCUAGAAGGUAUCCAAGAACAUAACACUUCAACUGAGCGUUCAAGAGGUCAGAAUGAGAUGUAGCAGAUGAACUAAAGUAGCUCAUGUUGUGGUGCUGGAUUUCUUGCUGUCCUCUGGCCUUCUAUGGAUCACAAGCCAAAAUAUAUUUGUCUCCCAACACAUAUUACUGUAACCACUGAAGAAAAAUUUAUUUUUUCGAAUGUCUAUCUCUCCUUUUUAACAUUUCUUCAUAAAAGCGGUUCAUUUGUCCUUUUGUUUUUGACCAAGGUCAAUAGAAUACGCUUUGGGGAAGAGCUGGUCAAGUUCAGAGAAAUGUUUAAGCAAUAGCAUGAAACAAAAAUCAUUAUCAGCUACAGGGGAGGGUGGGUAUUCUACUUUUCCAACGAAAAUAAGAGUAUGAGACAAGUCAGCAGGCAUGCUCGACUGAGUUAAACGGGUAUAACAGAGAGAAAUGAGCACAAAUUAUUCAUGGGAAUUCUUUAAUCUUCUGUUUAAUUAUGUGAUCAUUCCUAGAACAAAGACUUUGAUUGAUCAUAAUGGCAAGAAAAUGUCAAUUUGCACUCAGCACAGUGAUUAGCAUACAGCUAUAGAGAACAACAACAAAAAAAAAAGUGAGAAUGUAGUGUUUUAAUAUUUUUUGCAUGUUUUAAAAGUUUGGGAUGCUAGCUCUAAAUAAUUUAGAGGUUGUUAUAAGUAUUCUCCUCCAAAUAAAGCUGUUUUCAUUUUAUUCUUCAUUUCAGUCUUUGAGUCCUACUUUUUCAAGUCACUCAUUUUUCUUUUUUCAACCAUUUUAUACUGUUCAUAAAACAGUAUAAUUCUAUGACAAGUAUUUUAUGUUAUAUAUGGCAUGUGAAUUUGUAAAGCUUUAGUCAACGUUAUUAGAGUUUUGAUAGCUAAGACUCUGAAUACAAUUAAAUGAGCUGUAAGGUAUGGUUACUUUAGAAACAUGGUGUAUUGAGAGCAUUAAUAUUACUAACCUAUUUGGUAUUCACAGGGAUAUGUUAGAAAGAAAUGGGCAUUAAUAAGUACUACAUUACAAUUGGCCUCUGAUGAAACUGUGUAUUACAGCUACAUUAGUAGUUAAAGUAUUCAGCAUGAUUUAUGUAAAGUGUUGUCUGGGAAUUAAUAAUAAAGUGCUUUUUUUUCUU